UCACGGGGCAGAAAAAGGAAGUGUGGUCUCAGUGCCUUUGUUCCGGGAUUGAGGAGGACCCCCGCUCUUCUGCCACGUGCCUAAGAGAGAGAAUGAUCAAGUAUAAAUUCACCGCAGAGUUCCUGCUGUGUCCCAGUGGGUAAAGAAUCAGGCACUUUUCUCUGCCGUGGGGUCUGAGGUGCCCUCCCUGACCCCUGGUGCAGUGGGUUAAGGAUCCCGGUUGCCACGGCUCUGGGGUAGGUCACAGCAGCAGCUGGGACUUCGAUCCCCGACCCAGGAACUUCCAUAUGCCCCAGGUGUGGCCAGAAAAAUAAAGGUAAGUGAAUCAAGGGAUUCAUGUCCCAGGUCGUGAAUCUAAAUGCAGAACCAGGCCCAGCAAAGCACAUACCCAGGUGCGGCCUCAGACCUAUCCUGACAGCCAGGUAAAUGUCCCUCACAUUGAUACAGUGACAGGAAGGGUGGGGGACACGGAGGGAAUGUGACCGAGGCGGGAAGAGCUGACCUCUGAGCAGCCAGGUGCCUCUCCUGCCAAGGAGGCCAGAGUGGGGUGGCAGCCAGGAACCCGGAGGACUGUCCACAGGACCACAGUCAGAGCGGGCCCAGCACAGCCUCAGCUGCCCAGGUCCAUGGAUUCCAGCCCUGAUCCUGGACCCUCCCACCGUGUGGUUUUAUGCAGGAGAGGGUGCCCUUUGAAGUCACUCUGUGACCUGUGACUUCCACUCCAACCUCCAAAAAAGCAAUAUCCUACCUGUCAAUGUUUCUCUUUGAAGGGGGAAGACUUUUUUUUUUUUUUUUUUUGCUUUUUAGGGCCGAACCCAGGGCAGAUGGAAGUUCCCAGGCUAGGGGUCGAAUCCAAGCUACAGCUGCCAGCCUAUGCCACAGCUACUUGAAAUCCCAGCCACAUCUGCAACCUACACCACAGCUCAUGGCAACGCCGGAUCCUUAACCCACUGAUCGAGGCCAGGGAUCAAACCUGCAUCCUCAUGGCUCCUAGUCAGGUUUGUUAACCAUUGAGCCAUGAAGGGAAUGCCCGAAGACUAUUUCAAAAUUAGGAGAGCAGGAGUUCCCGUUGUGGCUCAUGGUUAACGAAUCUGACUAGGAACCAUGAGGUUGCAGGUUCGAUCCCUGGCCUUGCUCAGUGCGUUAAGGAGCCGGCAUUGCCGUGAGCUGUGGUGUAGGUGGCAGAUGCGGCUCAGCUCCCGCAUUGCUGUGGCUGUGGUGUAAGCCAGCAGCCACAGCUCCGAUUCGACUCCUAGCCUGGGAACCUCCUUAUGCCGGGGGAGCGGCCCUAGAAAAGGCAAAAAAAAAAAAAAGAAAGAAAGAAAUUAGGAGACUGGCGCAGAGGGCUGCCCAACACCUGGUUGACCCUGACGCAUCCACCCCUGAGACCAAGUCCGCUGGGACAGCUGGUCGACCCACAGAGGCCUGGGUCAAAAAAUAAUCAUAAUAAAAUAAAGCUGCUUUGGCCAUUAUUACAUAUGUCUUCUGGAAUGCAUAAGCACACAUCCCUAUUGGUACACAACAAGGAGUGGGAUUCCAGGGGCAUAGGGUAGAUGUAUGUUUAAUCCUAGCAGAUAAGGCUGGCAUUGCAAAGGAUUGUCUCACCAGCUUUAAAUGACAGUUUCAGUUACGCCACAAAUUCAAGUACUCUUCUCAGUCCUUUUAAUUUUAGCCUGUGUAGAAGCUAAAAUCAUACAUGUACGUAUAGGAUCUGAGUUCUUAGCUUCACUCAUAUCUAAUGAUGCUAAGCAUCUUUUCAUGUGCUUAUGGCCCUUUUGGAAAUUCUCUUUGGGGAAAUACCCCUUCAAGACAUACGCCUUUUCCAGGUUUGGGAGCACCUGUAGUUCUGAUCAUUGGUCAGGGGAAAUGAAAAAAAAAAAAAAA
rnacentral:lncRNA from 1 species